rnacentral:rRNA from 1 species
CCUACGGGGGGCAGCAGUGUGGAAUAUUGCACAAUGGGGGAAACCCUGAUGCAGCGACGCCGCGUGAGUGAAGAAGUAUUUCGGUACGUAAAGCUCUAUCAGCAGGGAAGAAAAUGACGGUACCUGACUAAGAAGCCCCGGCUAACUACGUGCCAGCAGCCGCGGUAAUACGUAGGGGGCAAGCGUUAUCCGGAUUUACUGGGUGUAAAGGGAGCGUAGACGGCAGCGCAAGUCUGGAGUGAAAUCCCAUGGCUUAACCAUGGAACUGCUUUGGAAACUGUGCAGCUAGAGUGCAGGAGAGGUAAGCGGAAUUCCUAGUGUAGCGGUGAAAUGCGUAGAUAUUAGGAGGAACACCAGUGGCGAAGGCGGCUUACUGGACUGUAACUGACGUUGAGGCUCGAAAGCGUGGGGAGCAAACAGGAUUAGAUACCCGAGUAGUC